ACUUGGUCGUUGAUGCUAAUCAGCAUGUUUUGAAUCUGAGAGUAAAUGGGUCUGACUACAACUCUAAAAAUACAGGGUUCAACUGGAGUUGUUCUGAGAUCCCCUAAGAACCAUAGGGUUCUUGGUCAAUGAAAAACAGCCCCAAAAGGUUCUUCAAAGAACAUGUUAGAAGAUCUUCUCAGAAAUGAAUCAAGUCCAUGGAAUGGAUAUAGACAAAACGAGAAUUCAAGAACUAGCAGAGGUAGAGAGGCAGGGGUGAGGACAUCAUCCUGCUAUUUUGACAGUCCCUGAAGGACAAUACAGAAGAGAUUUCACCGCUCUUCACUCCUUUACUGCACAUCGGCGGAAAUCCAUUUCACCAUGAGAGUGAAAUCCCGCUGGCCUUUGAUGGGGAGAACUUCCACGCCCUCGAGGACGUCUCCGUGGGACUUGGGGCUCUGCUAGGGCUGUAUUUUUUAUUUUCCCUUAAAUUUGCUAUUUUGUAAUGUGUUUUGUUUGGUAAAUUGUUUUGUAAAUAUUAAUUCACAUUU